AAUAAGAGCAUAUGGUGGAUGCCUCGACAUAAAUAGCCUAUGAAGGACGCGGCGUGGCUGCGAUAAGCCUCGGGAAGGUGCUGAGCAACCUAUGAUCCGGGGAUUUCCGAAUGGGGUAACCUAAUUUGCUGAUUAAGGCAAAUUGAUCUGGCCGCAAGGCUGGAUCGGGAACUCGGCGAAGCGAAACCUCACAGUAGCCGGAGGAAAAGAAAAGAAAGUUAACAUUUCAUUUUGCUUUCAACUUUCAGUCGCUAACUUUUGUUGGUGCCUGAGAGUUGAUCGUUGAAGCGUUAUGUUAGCACAUUCCCUUAGUAGCGGUGAGCGAACAGGGAGUAGUCCAAACCUGACAUCACUUGUGGUGGCGGGUGUAGUAAGAUAAAGACGUUCCAAUUUAUUGGAACCCGAAGCCAGGUGAGCUACCCAUGAUCAGGAUGAACUCCGUAGAGAUACGGAGGGAGGUCCGAACCCAUAAGCCGUGCAAUACUUUGGGAUGAAUUGUGGGUAGAAGUGAAAAGCUCAUCGAACCUGGUAAUAGCUGGUUCUCUCCGAAAUAUCUUUCGGGAUAGCACUAUAUAGUAUCUUUGGAGGUAGAGCACUGAAUGGUGUUCAUUGGCCUUGCGCCAGGAAAACCAAUCAAACUCCGAAUGCCAAAGACUUUAUGUAUAGUAGUUAGACUGCGGGGGCUAAGCUCCGUAGUCAAAAGGGAAAAAGCCCAGACCGCCAUCUAAGGUCCCCAAAUCUUCGCUAAGUGCAAAUUUCAAGGAAGUGUGGCUUCACAGACACCUAGGAGGUUGGCUUAGAAGCAGCCAUCCUUAAAAGAAAGCGUAACAGCUCACUAGUUUAGAGGCUACGCGCCGAAAAUGUAUGGGGCUAAGCGAAGUACCGACGAUGCGGAUUCUACCUAACUUUUGCGAUUUAGAUUAUUUUUUGUAAUCUUUUUGCCGGAUUUUUCUGGUAACUGGAUGUUAAGAAUAGUUUGAAUUGCAACAGUUAGGUAGAAUGGUAGGAGAGCUUAUCCUGCGCAGUGAAGGCAAAUUGUGAAAUUUGCUGGAGUGCAGGGUAGUGAGAAUGCCGGAAUGAGUAACCACAAGUCAUGUGAGAACCAUGACCGCCGAAAGCCUAAGGUUUCCGUGGCAAUGACAAUCAACCACGGGUUAGUCGGGCCUAAGACCAACCCUAAAGGGGUAGUCGAUGGACAGCAGAUUAAUAUUUCUGCACUUCUUAAAGAUUCAAUGGGAGGGACAAAUUUUAGUAGUCAGCGCGCGUUAUUGGAUUCGCGUCUGUUUCUUAAGGAAUUUUGCCAGGCAAAUCCGGCAGAAUGUCUUCAAUGACGAUUCUAAGAGAUGCAGGGAAUUCCAUUUAUGGAAGAACGCUGAUGAGCAAGGUUUCGAGAAAAACUUCUAAGGUUAAUCUUUAUGAACCCGUACCGAAGACCGACACAGGUGGGCCGGUGUAAAUGCACCAAGGCGAACGAGUGAUUCUUCGUUAAGGAACUCGGCAAAAAAGUGGCCGUAAGUUUGACGAUAAGGCCUCCCUGAUUUAUUUCAGGGCGCAGCUAACGACCCCUAGCGACUGUUUAUCAAAAACACAGGUCCCUGCGAACUCAUUAAGAGGAUGUAUAGGGGCUGACACCUGUCCAGUGCUGGAACCUUAACGGUUGCGGUGAUAGGGAUGAGAUUAUAUCAAUUUUUUAUUGCUAAAGCCCGAAGGGCCAGUGAACGACAGCGAUAACUAUAAUCGUUCUAAGGUAGCGAAAUUCCUUGGCAUGUAAGUUAUGUCCCGCACGAAUGGUGUAACGACUGGGGGACUGUCUCAACGAAGAGCUCGCUACAGCUUGAUAUUGGCGAUGCUUUCCAAAUACGUAGAAUAGGUGGGAGAGGUUGAAGGCUUGGUUUCGGCCAGGCUGGACUCGACAGUGAAAUACCACUUUUUUGGAGCGCUUCGUUCUAACGUUGCCAUGUUAGCAGCAUGGCGCGGACAGUGUCUGGUGGGUAGUUUUAGUGGGGUGCUAUCCUCCUAAAAAGUAACGGAGGAGUUUAUCAAGGUUGGCUAGCUCCGGAUGGAAAUCGGAGCGAUAGCGUAAAGGCACAAGCCAGCUUUACAGCGAGACAUAUAGGUCGAGCUGUUGCGAAAGCAGAACUUAGUGAACCGACCCUUCGAUGUAGUCGGGGGGAAGAUCAACAGACAAAAGCUACUCCGGGGAUAACAGGCUGGUGAAGCCCAAGCGUCCAUAGCGACGGCUUCGCUCGGCACCUCGAUGUCGGCUCAUCUUAUCCUGGUGGUGGAGAAGCUACCAAGGGUUUGGCUGUUCGCCAAUUAAAAAGAUACGUGAGCUGGGUUCAAACCGUCAAAAAAAUUCCCAUGCAUUGUUGGGUUAGGCGGCCUUUUGUGGCGACACAAAAGUGAAGCCGCUCCGCUUUUGCGGAGCAGCCUCGUUUCGUAAUUAUACGAGGCGGGAAAUCGACUCAUAUCGGUGAAGUCCUUUCAUACUUGUUGUUUGCAAACAACCUGUCGUAUGAUCGCGAUAAUACCGAGGGAAGUCAGCGCAUUUUGCAAAGUAAAAUGCUAAGUUAAAAAGUUAAAGCGAAAAAGUAAAAAUUUAAGCGAUUUGCCUUUCGGGCAAAAUUAUAAUUCCACCUUUGGCGGAAUACCAAAAUUUUACACUUUAGUUUUUAAUUUUAAAUUUAGCGAGCUAGGCGAGCGCUUGACCCCGUAGAGACUUAGUCCGAUAAGGACUGGAGUUAUCAUAUUGAUAGCUAAGACGUCGAUUAUCCAGCCCCAAUUUUAUAAAAAUUGGAGCGGGAUAGUGGUAUAGUCCAUGCACUUAGUAAUAAGUGGUUUAACAUGCGCGAGACAGGUUGGUCUCCUAUCUGUUGCAGGCGUAGAAUCUUGAGAAGACUUGCUCCUAGUACGAGAGGACCGGAGUGAACUGACCAACUUCAAGAUUAGGAUUCAUAGCGUCCUAGUAGAUGACUAGGUAUUACACCUGCUCAACAUUUGCUGUUUUAAGAAGACUUAAAAUAAAAUCAAGUAUACUGAAAAGAAAUUUAUGGAUUUAAGUAGAAACUGGAAUGGCAAACGUUGGGCGGGUUCAUAGGCUGCAAGUGGAAGCGCCGUAAGGCGUUAAGCUGAGCAGUACUAAUAACGCA
rnacentral:rRNA from 1 species